rnacentral:lncRNA from 1 species
UUGUUAAGGUCUUUGUGUAGUGUCUGUCCUUUUUUUGCCCCUAUUUUUUUCCUUUAGGUUGUGCGGCCCAGGACUUGGCCAUACCAGGUAUAUAUGUUAUUGUUAAGGUCUUUGUGUAAGUUUCAUGUCCUUUUUUUGCCCCUAUUUUUUUCCUUUAGGUUGUACAGCCCAGGACUUGGCCAUACCAGGUAUAUAUGUUAUUGUUAAGGUCUUUGUGUAUUUCUCAUGUCUUUUUUUGCCCCUAUUUUUUUUUCCUUUAGGUUGUGCAGCCCAGGACUUGGCCAUACCAGGUAUAUAUGUUAUUGUUAAGGUCUUUGUGUAAUGUCUCAUGUCCUUUUUUUGCCCCUAUUUUUUUCCUUUAGGUUGUGCGGCCCAGGACUUGGCCAUACCAGGUAUAUAUGUUAUUGUUAAGGUCUUUGUGUAAGUUUCAUGUCCUUUUUUUGCCCCUAUUUUUUUCCUUUAGGUUGUACAGCCCAGGACUUGGCCAUACCAGGUAUAUAUGUUAUUGUUAAGGUCUUUGUGUAUUUCUCAUGUCUUUUUUUGCCCCUUUUUUUUUUCCUUUAGGUUGUGCAGCCCAGGACUUGGCCAUACCAGGUAUAUAUGUUAUUGUUAAGGUCUUUGUGUAAUGUCUCAUGUCCUUUUUUUGCCCCUAUUUUUUUUCCUUUAGGUUGUGCGGCCCAGGACUUGGCCAUACCAGGUAUAUAUGUUAUUGUUAAGGUCUUUGUGUAAGUUUCAUGUCCUUUUUUUGCCCCUAUUUUUUUCCUUUAGGUUGUACAGCCCAGGACUUGGCCAUACCAGGUAUAUAUGUUAUUGUUAAGGUCUUUGUGUAUUUCUGUCUUUUUUUGCCCCUUUUUUUUUCCUUUAGGUUGUGCAGCCCAGGACUUGGCCAUACCAGGUAUAUAUGUUAUUGUUAAGGUCUUUGUGUAAUGUCUCAUGUCCUUUUUUUGCCCCUAUUUUUUUCCUUUAGGUUGUGCGGCCCAGGACUUGGCCAUACCAGGUAUAUGUGUUAUUGUUAAGGUCUUUGUGUAAGUUUCAUGUCAUUUUUUUGCCCCUAUUUUUUUCCUUUAGGUUGUACAGCCCAGGACUUGGCCAUACGAGGUAUAUAUGUUAUUGUUAAGGUCUUUGUGUGUGUUUCAUGUCUUUUAUUUGCCCCUUUUCUUUUCCUUU